rnacentral:rRNA from 1 species
AAUAGAUACCCGGGUAGUCCACGCCGUAAACGAUGAAUGCUAGCCGUUGGCCGGUUUACCGAUCAGUGGCGCAGCUAACGCUUUAAGCACUCCGCCUGGGGAGUACGGCCGCAAGACUGAAACUCAAAGGAAUUGACGGGGGCCCGCACAAGCGGUGGAGCAUGUGGUUUAAUUCGAAGCAACGCGAAGAACCUUACCAGGUCUUGACAUCCUCUGACAACUCUAGAGAUAGAGCGUUCCCCUUCGGGGGACAGAGUGACAGGUGGUGCAUGGUUGUCGUCAGCUCGUGUCGUGAGAUGUUGGGUUAAGUCCCGCAACGAGCGCAACCCUUGAUCUUAGUUGCCAGCAUUCAGUUGGGCACUCUAAGGUGACUGCCGGUGACAAACCGGAGGAAGGUGGGGAUGACGUCAAAUCAUCAUGCCCCUUAUGACCUGGGCUACACACGUGCUACAAUGGAUGGUACAAAGAGCUGCGAACCCGCGAGGGUAAGCGAAUCUCAUAAAAGCCAUUCUCAGUUCGGAUUGUAGGU